UGCGUCCCCAUUUUAAUAGGUGAUGAAACUGAGACUCAGAAACUUGAGAGGAUGCCCAAAGCCCCAUAGCUAGGAAGUGACAGAGGCCCAGUUCUGCUUGGCCUCAAAUUGUAUGUUCUUUUUAGGAGCCGAGCUCGUCCUCUGUUCGUGUGGGGACAGAGCUCCAUCCAGCUCCACAGACUCCAGAUUAUAUAGUUCCACUGGCCCACCCGGAACUUCAGAAUGUGAACUUACUUGGAAGUAGGGUCUUUGCUGAUGUGUUUAAGUUAAGGCUCUGGAGAUGAGAUCAUCCUGGAUGUAGGGUGAGCCCUAAAUCCAACAAGUAGUCAGAAGAGGAGACACGGAGGGAUGCGGGAAGACACAGAGAGAAAGCCGUGUGAAGACAGAGCCAGAAACCCGAGGGGUGCGGCCUCAAGUCAAGGAACCCCAAGGAUUGCCAGGAGCCACCAGAAGCUGGAAGAGGCACGAUCCUCCCCUCUGGGAGCCUUUAGAGGAAGUAUAGCCCUGCCAACACCUUGAUUUUCAGACAUUUAGCCUCCAGAACUGGAGGGAAUAAAUUUCUGUUGUUCUAAGCCA